UCUCACCAUCGAGCCGCAAAUACAAUUGCACCGCGUGCGGGAGUCUUACCCACGCUGCUGUCUGUAGCUGAACAAGGAGUUCGUUGCCGACACCGAAGAACAACGAAACAAGUCGACCAACACCUGCUCCCUCACGCCCCACGCACUUACACGCGCCGCCGCACAGGCACGGAAAGGGCACCGCAUAUCGAUCCAUCCUCAUCAAACCCGCACGAGGAGAUAAAAAAAAAGAAUAUGGCGGUGCUCGACUACCUGUUUUACGCAGGCGUGCUCCUCCUGGCGCAUGCACUGUAUAUGGCCUACUCUAUCCGUGAGCAGCUGCAGGCGUCCCACCACAGUCACGGCCACAUCCCUGCGAUCAGCUUUGGCGGCCACAACGUGUCCAUCACGGCGAUGAUGGUGCCCAUCACGUUAGAAGUACUCGCUGGUACGUUGCUGGGCAUUGCCGGCUUCGCGCACCGUCACAAGAUGCAGGAUGCGCGGCUGUGCGACGUCACCAAGUACCUCCGCUAUGACAAUCAAAUGAACUCCGGCGUAGGCUUCAUUCACUUCAAUCAUCGCGGCACUGUGGCGUGCAAGAGGGAUGAGCUGAAGGAGGAGUGCAAGCCGCUCGUGCAGAAGAAGAAGGAGUGAAUGUGCUGCUUGUCCGGCAUGCGCGUGUGCUGGCCGCGUGGCUGCUUGGCGCUAUCCUUGCCUUCACUGUUUCUUCGCGGUUUGGGGGCUCUGCAGAGCUUUAGCCUUGUUGGUGGCGAUGGGUGGGGCACAUGCGCCAUAAAAACGUUUUCCCGUUGCGUCUUGCAUCAUUCCAGGGACUGCCAAAUAUUCCUGCUGUGCUAUCGCAAAACAGCUGCGCUGCAGUGGCUUUUCUGCUCUCCCCUCUCUUGUGCGUGCGGAGACUCGGCGCGAAUGUGCGAUUGUGCGUGGGUGUGGGUACGUGCGCGUGUUUUUUUUUUGGGGGGGGCUCUUUAUUGCUCGUGUUGCACGGGGCCGCGGUAAGGGUAAAGCUGGUAACGACUCGUUUCAGCAGCGAACGAAAAAGCGACAACCACAGCCACAACCACAUCCGCGCAAGCGAAACGGCCGCAGUGCGCUUGUGCAGGCUGCAACAACAACAAUGAAACCACAGAGGACAGCACGUGACCGUGAAGAGCACAUCGACCCUCAAGGAAUUCCCGCCAGUCGAUCUCAUCCCGCUUCCUCGGUGAUAGGGCAAAGGUGGUUUCUGAGAUCGUGGAAGAAACUGCGGAGGGUGAGUCCGUGAGCCCGUCAUCGUACCUCUCUUAGAGGAGUGUACUCUGCUGCACUCUUUCCACUGCGAGAGAAGCGCAAUCGCCUCGAGCUUGUUUGCACGUCUCUCUCUCUGCCUGUCAGCAUAAUGUCGAGGACUUGGUGUAGUGGCGACACUGCUGGUGUGACAGCGCUUCUUUUUCUUGCACAAACCCCACUCCCCACCUCCAACGUUGACGUUCUUUCCCCACCACUUGUACACCGUUGCAUCACACUUGUGCACGCAUGCCCACACUCCUGCAG
rnacentral:misc_RNA from 1 species